GACGAACGCUGGCGGCGUGCUUAACACAUGCAAGUCGAACGGAAAGGCCCUGCUUGCCGGGUACUCGAGUGGCGAACGGGUGAGUAACACGUGGGUGAUCUGCCCUGCACUUCGGGAUAAGCUUGGGAAACUGGGUCUAAUACCGGAUAGGAACCAUCUUUAGUGUGGUGGUUGGAAAGUUUUUUCGGUGUAGGAUGAGCUCGCGGCCUAUCAGCUUGUUGGUGGGGUAAUGGCCUACCAAGGCGGCGACGGGUAUCCGGCCUGAGAGGGUGUACGGCCACAUUGGGACUGAGAUACGGCCCAGACUCCUACGGGAGGCAGCAGUGGGGAAUAUUGCACAAUGGGCGCAAGCCUGAUGCAGCGACGCCGCGUGGGGGAUGAAGGCCUUCGGGUUGUAAACUCCUUUCGCUAGGGACGAAGCUUUGUUGUGACGGUACCUAGAUAAGAAGCACCGGCUAACUACGUG
rnacentral:rRNA from 1 species